GGUGCUUGAGGAGAGGCUGCCCGUGGCCCGUCCGCAUUUUUCAAGACGCACAAUACACGGUCGGCCUCUCUUCAGUAUC
rnacentral:pre_miRNA from 1 species